rnacentral:rRNA from 1 species
CUACAGAGGGUGCAAGCGUUACUCGGAAUCACUGGGCGUAAAGCGCGCGCAGGCGGCUAUUUAAGUUGGAUGUGAAAGCCUACGGCUCAACCGUAGAACUGCAUCCAAAACUAUUUAGCUAGAGUGUGGGAGAGGAAGAUGGAAUUAGUUGUGUAGGGGUAAAAUCCGUAGAGAUAACUAGGAAUACCAAAAGCGAAGGCAAUCUUCUGGAACACUACUGACGCUGAGGCGCGAAAGCGUGGGGAGCAAACGGGAUUAGAUACCCUAGUAGUCC